UACGUAGGGGGCGAGCGUUAUCCGGAAUUACUGGGCGUAAAGAGUACGUAGGUGGCACUGUAAGCGGUAGGUGAAAGCCCGGGGCUUAACUCCGGCGAGCCUAGUGAACUGCAGAGCUUGAGUGCUGGAGGGGAAAGUGGAAUUCCUAGUGUAGCGGUGAAAUGCGUAGAUAUUAGGAGGAACACCGGUGGCGAAGGCGACUUUCUGGACAGUAACUGACACUGAGGUACGAAAGCGUGGGGAGCAAACA
rnacentral:rRNA from 1 species